rnacentral:rRNA from 2 species
UGGGGAAUAUUGGACAAUGGGCGAAAGCCUGAUCCAGCAACGCCGCGUGAGGGAUGACGGCCUUCGGGUUGUAAACCUCUUUCAGCAGGGACGAAGCGAAAGUGACGGUACCUGCAGAAGAAGGACCGGCCAACUACGUGCCAGCAGCCGCGGUAAUACGUAGGGUCCGAGCGUUGUCCGGAAUUAUUGGGCGUAAAGGGCUCGUAGGCGGUCUGUCGCGUCGGGAGUGAAAACUCAGGGCUCAACCCUGAGCGUGCUUCCGAUACGGGCAGACUAGAGGUAUGCAGGGGAGAACGGAAUUCCUGGUGUAGCGGUGGAAUGCGCAGAUAUCAGGAGGAACACCGGUGGCGAAGGCGGUUCUCUGGGCAUUACCUGACGCUGAGGAGCGAAAGCAUGGGGAGCGAACAGG